rnacentral:lncRNA from 1 species
AUUUCAUGUGUAGUAUGUGAAGUCACCCAAAUAUAACCAGCACCGCCACUGAGGUGAACACACAUUUUAAAAACUGGGUAAUGGAGUAUGUGAUAAUCUACUCCAUGUGAUGUUCCAGAUCAAUCACAACAAAAUGCAUUUUUAUUGAUAACAAAGAUUCCAAGACUUACUUUAUGUGUUAAUUUUUCCUUUCUUCUGCCUGCCUCACACGUCAUGCAAAUAUAAGUUUCAAAUUAUUCAAAAGUGCUGCUCCUACGGGUGUUUACCAUCCUCUUGUUUUCCUUUAGGCCUUUUCUUCAUCCCUGUAUCAUAAUUAUUGUGCUAUAUUCCAUUCCUCUGCCACCAGAAUUUGGAAUUACUCAACAACAGGAGCACUUUGUAUCUACCCUGCCUGCACUGUAUGCCUUAAGUCUUAAGCAAAGGUAGACCACAUUGAGAGUCUUAGUCUUAAAUGUACCAAAUACUUAAUGAAUAGAGCAGAUGGUCCAUGUCAUCUGAUCUAGGUGCUCCUAGAUCAUGAAUAACUAAUUCUGCAGUAGGUAUUCAUGAUCUAGGAGCACCUCUAUUUUAUACUAACCUAUGCUCUUUCCAAAUGUAACACUGAUGUAAUUCCGUACAAUUAAUUCAUAGGCCCCAACCAUUUUUUUAAAAACUUUACAAACCAUAUACAUGUUAGCAUAUAUCCAAGUAUGACAGAACACACAAAGAUUAUAUUAGCAUUUUAAUACCUAAGUUAUUUUUAACGAUGUGACAAAAUUCUAGAAAACUCACUGUAGUACUAGCACCCAUGCUAUUGUGUAUGCAUAUGUUCAAGUACUAUCCAAAAUAAAAUAAUUAUUAAAGAACAAACAAAAAUAGUUGCUGCCAAAUUCUCCAGUGUUCAUUUAAUGAUGAUCCAGCAAAGAGAACAUACAAUCCAGAAGAGCACUAAGGCUCUAUUGGAUAGUUUUGAUGCAGCUGUUCUAGAGUGCAACAGCUCAGAUUGGAGCAGGAAAAAAGUAAGCCUCCACGGGAAUCCUGGGAUGAGGAGGGACACAAAAAGUAGGAUGGAAAUAAAUGAAAUGUUAAAGACACUGAAUGUCAGGGAAAAAAUUUAUGAAGAAUUUAUACAAAUUAGUUCAAAUAGCAAUUAUGGUCUUAAAAACCAAUUCUCUUUCCACACUAGUGAGUGUGGAAAUAUAACUAAAGUUCAAGUAAAUAUUAAAAUACUUAGGGGUAAAAAAAAAAAAAAAAAAAAAAAAGGAAAAAAAAGAAAUACUUAGGGGUGCCUGGGUGGCUCAGUAGGUUAAGAAUCCCAACUGUUGAUCUCAGCUCAGGUCUUAUCUCAGGGUCCUGAGUUCAAGUUCCACAUUCACUGGGCCUUAAAAUAAACCAAAAACUAAAAAACACAUAUACACACUCUUGUAUUUUACAUAGUACAUAUUAGCUAUAUAAAAAAAAUGUUAUUAGAACUUUGGCUAACCUGACUUAAUUUAUUUGUCCUCCUUGUAGAUGUUAGAUGACAUGUACCACUGUAACAUGUUGAUUACUAACUAAAUUUGUGCCAUAAUGUAAACUGGAAAAAUUUUAAAUCAUCCCCAGUAUUUAGACAUUUAUCUCCCAACUUUUCAUCAGCUCUGAAGGAUGGGGAAGAAAUGGCAAAACAGGAAGUUUUCUUUAGAUUCCACAGACUCAGUGGCAUUCCCUUUUUCCUAACUUAAUUUCCAUUUACUAUAAAAUAUAUUAAAGAUAAAAAUCAAAAUGCAGGAACUCAGUAAUGUCAACAAUAUAAGUACGAAGAAUGUUCAUUUAUCUUCUUGGAAAUAUUUCAAAAUAUUAUUGUAAAGGUAAUUCAGAAAAGCAAAUAGUGGCUCUUUUAGAAGUGAUUUUAAAAGUCCCUAUAAUCCAUCAAAAUGAACAGUAAUGAAUGUUAACUCAAAGACCAUGAUAAAGGAAUGGAAGGGAAUUAGUAGCCUUUAAGAAAUCCUUUAGGGUAUUGGAAUAAUUACUCCAUCUUAAAUAGGAGCUGUUAAUAAAAGACCAAAAGUUUCUUCAAACUUUGUAUUACAUGCCUUUUCUCUCCCAAUGUUUUUAUUUUUUUUAAAGGUUUUAUGUAUUUGAGAGAGCGCACAACUGAAGGGAGUGGUAGGGGGGAGAGAAGCAGGCACCCCACUAAGCAGGAAGCCUGAUGCGGGACUGGAUGCCAUGACUCUGGGAUCAUAACCUGAGCAGAAGGCAGAUGCUUUACUGACUGAGACACACACAGGUGCCCCUCUCCCAAUAUUUGAACAAGUUUUUUCAGCUCUUGAUACAAUACCCAAGUUAUGUAUAAAAGAGGACUAGGUACGUGUUCCCUUCAUAACAUCCAAGCUUUAUUGAAUGAAUUCUCCUGGAAAUCUUAACUCUUUACUAGAGAAUUACCAUGAUCAGAACUUCAGCAUCUCUACAAGUGUUAUCUGAGGACCACAUAUAAAAAUGUGUAUGGACAAUCACAUCAACAAUGAGCUGCACUUUAAUAGGGUACCCUCCUGAACAGCUGCUCUUUGCAGUGGACCUGUCCUACUUUUGCCGCUUCUAAUCUUCUCGAUUUAUACCAACGUUAAAAAAAGGUAGGAGAGAAGGGUGCCUGCAUGGCUCAGUCUUAAGUGUCUGCCUUCGGCUCAGGUCAUGAUCCCACGGUCCUGGACUUGAGCCCUGCAUCUAGCUCCCCACUUAAGGAAGAGUCUGCUUCUCCCUCUGCCCCUCCCGCACUCACACUUUCUCUUGCAUGUGCUCUCAAAUAAAAUCUUAAAAAAGAAAAAGGGCAAGAGAAAAACAAACAUGUAAACUCUUAAAACCAGGAGCUUUCAUUUUACACUCAAUUAGAAAAACAAAUGUUCUUUUUCUGGAAAUAUAAUAGGAUUUGGACACAUCAGGAGGGUUUUCUUAAGAUGGGGAGGGGCAGGAGAGGGAGAGAAUCUUAAAGGAGGUUUCAUGCACAAUGGAGAGCCUGACACAGGGCUUGAUCUCACAACCCUGAGAUCAAAAUCAAGAGUCAGCCACUUAACUGAGCAACCCAGGCACUCUGGACAUCUCAGGAAGGCUGAAAUGUCCAGUUCCUCUGGUCUCCUGAAUGCUUACAGUUCCACCAACACCAAAACACCACUGUAUUUCAUACACCCAAUGCACAAAACACUUUUUUGAGUUUUUGUUUUUUGUUUUUUUUAAACUGGGACGCCUGGAUGGCUCAGCGGUUUAGCUCCUUUGGCCCAGGGCGUAAUCCUGGAGUCCCAGGAUCAAGUCCCACAUCGGGAUCCCUGCAUGGAGCCUGCUUCUCCCUCUAUGUC